GGGCCGUUAGCUCAGUUGGUAGAGCAGCUGACUCUUAAUCAGCAGGUCCACGGUUCGAACCCGUGACGGCCCA
rnacentral:tRNA from 1 species